ACCCUGGUGGGCGGGUUGAUCGGCCUGCUGCUGCAUGCGGCAACCGUGGUGUCCAGGUUCUAGCCCCGGCCAAUGCCC
rnacentral:tRNA from 1 species